rnacentral:rRNA from 1 species
GACGAACGCUGGCGGCGUGCUUAACACAUGCAAGUCGAGCGGAAAGGCCACUUCGGUUGUACUAGAGCGGCGAACGGGUGAGUAACACGUGAGUAAUCUGCCCCUCACUUUGGGAUAACCCCGGGAAACUGGGCUUAAUACCGGAUAUGCUCACCGGCCGUGUGGUCUGGGGGUGGCAAGGCUUUCGGUGGGGGAUGGUCUCGCGGCCUAUCAGCUUGUUGGUGGGGUAAUGGCCUACCAAGGCUUCGACGGGUAGCCGGCCUGAGAGGGUGGCCGGCCACACUGGGACUGAGGCACGGCCCAGACUCCUACGGGAGGCAGCAGUGGGGAAUAGUGGACAAUGGGCGGAAGCCUGAUCCAGCAACGCCGCGUGAGGGAUGACGGCCUUCGGGUUGUAAACCUCUUUCAGCGGGGACGAAGCGCGGGUGACGGUACCCGCAGAAGAAGCACCGGCCAACUACGUGCCAGCCGCCGCAGUAA